UACGAGGGGGGCAAGCGUUGUUCGGAUUUAUUGGGGGUAAAGGGGGCGUAGGCGGUUUGGCAAGUCUUGUGUGAAAUCUUUGGGCUCAACCCAAAGCCUGCACGAGAAACUGCCGGGCUUGAGUAUGGGAGAGGUGAGUGGAAUUUCCGGUGUAGCGGUGAAAUGCGUAGAUAUCGGAAGGAACACCUGUGGCGAAAGCGGCUCACUGGACCAUAACUGACGCUGAGGCACGAAAGCUAGGGGAGCAAACAGG
rnacentral:rRNA from 1 species